CACAUUUGGGGAAAUGUCUUUAUUGAUAUAGUGGUAUUAUAUUGACUAUUGGUAGACAGUCAAACAUUUUAGAAUCUUCUGGAAAGUGCAACAAAACAAAAGUAUCCACAGCAAACAUCACUCCAAAGUUAAUGGACGCACUCAGAGGGAAUGGCUAAAUUUGUGCAGAAAAAUAAAAUGUUACAUUGUUUUAUAGUUGGCAUUAAGACAAUACCAAUGGAGAGUCUGCAUUUAUUAUCAUUCUCUUCUUUGACAGAUCUGAUCAAAUAAAAUAGGUGUGGCUUAAAGAAUUUACUAAGAAUGUACAUUUGAUAGAAUAAAAUAUAAUAAAAUAAAACAAUUAAGAAAAUAUCUAGUGGUGCAACUGAAAACAACAUGAGUUUGUUGUUCCCCAGAAUGUAAUCUAAAAAAACCAACAAAAUUGAAUGUAGAUAGACUAGAUUUGACCAAAUGAAAUAACAAAAAAAAAGCAUAAAAAAAUAGAUGUCUAAAAAAGGUUAUCAAUGAAUUUCAACUAAUGUAUUUAAUAAUGUAUAUAAUGUAUAAGAAUGUAGUUUUUGUUAAGAAUGUCACAAUGAUUUUUGGUAAACAUUUUUAAUGGUAGAUAACCAAACUUGUUCUUGAAAACUACAGUCAACCCUCCUAAUCUCAAACUCUGAUAGAAGUUAGCUUAAAGGUUUGGAAAUUUUAACCACCCAAGAAUGAAUGCUACUAAACAUGAAUUGCAUUAUCUAGUACUAGGACAUCAUUUGAAUGCAUUCAUAGUUAGCUGAUGGAUUUAUAACUGAAAUAAGUUUGAUCUCAUUAAUGAUCUUUUUUUUAAAACUUUGGAUAAACUAAACAAUUUAGUCUGUCCUAUAAAUUUGAUACAUUUAAAAAAAAAAAUUCAAAUGAAAUUGAUCAGAAUUUUUUCAGAAAGUUCAUUUAAUUUUGAGAGUACUGGAUUUCUUAUCAUCUACAGUUUGCUGAAAAAUUUUUAACAAACAAACAAAAAAAAAAAAAAAAACAAAAC